UUGGAGGGCAAGUCUGGUGCCAGCAGCCGCGGUAAUUCCAGCUCCAAUAGCGUAUAUUAAAGUUGUUGCAGNUAAAAAGCUCGUAGUUGAAUUUCGGGAUUGGCGUGUCGGUCGUGCCUUGCGGGGUAUGAACUGGCGUCGUCGAUUUCUCACCUUCUGGAGAAUCACGAUGCCCUUAAUUGGGUGUCGUGUGGAACCAGGACCUUUACCUUGAAAAAAUUAGAGUGUUUAAAGCAGGCAUUUUGCUCGAAUACAUUAGCAUGGAAUAAUAAAAUAGGACGGCUUGGUUCUAUUUUGUUGGUUUCUAGGAUCACCGUAAUGAUUAAUAGGGAUAGUUGGGGGCAUUAGUAUUCAAUUGUCAGAGGUGAAAUUCCUGGAUUUAUUGAAGACUAACUACUGCGAAAGCAUUUGCCAAGGAUGUUUUCAUUAAUCAAGAACGAAAGUUAGGGGAUCGAAGACGAUCAGAUACCGUCGUAGUCUUAACCAUAAACUAUGCCGACUAGGAAUCAGACGAUGUUAAUUUUUUAAUGACUCGUUUGGCACCUUACGGGAAAC
rnacentral:rRNA from 1 species